UAGGGAAUCUUCCGCAAUGGGCGAAAGCUUGACGGAGAAACGCCGCGUGAGUGAUGAAGGUCUUCGGAUCGUAAAACUCUGUUAUUAGGGAAGAACAAAUGUGUAAGUAACUAUGCACGUCUUGACGGUACCUAAUCAGAAAGCCACGGCUAACUACGUGCCAGCAGCCGCGGUAAUACGUAGGUGGCAAGCGUUAUCCGGAAUUAUUGGGCGUAAAGCGCGCGUAGGCGGUUUUUUAAGUCUGAUGUGAAAGCCCACGGCUCAACCGUGGAGGGUCAUUGGAAACUGGAAAACUUGAGUGCAGAAGAGGAAAGUGGAAUUCCAUGUGUAGCGGUGAAAUGCGCAGAGAUAUGGAGGAACACCAGUGGCGAAGGCGACUUUCUGGUCUGUAACUGACGCUGAUGUGCGAAAGCGUGGGGAUCAAACAGG
rnacentral:rRNA from 1 species